rnacentral:rRNA from 1 species
AUUGAACGCUGGCGGCAUGCCUUACACAUGCAAGUCGAACGGCAGCACGGGAGCAAUCCUGGUGGCGAGUGGCGAACGGGUGAGUAAUAUAUCGGAACGUGCCCAGUCGUGGGGGGAUAACGCAGCGAAAGCUGUGCUAAUACCGCAUACGAUCUAUGGAUGAAAGCGGGGGGAUCGCAAGACCUCGCGCGAUUGGAGCGGCCGAUAUCAGAUUAGCUAGUUGGUGGGGUAAAAGCCCACCAAGGCGACGAUCUGUAGCUGGUCUGAGAGGACGACCAGCCACACUGGAACUGAGACACGGUCCAGACCCCUACGGGAGGCAGCAGUGGGGAAUUUUGGACAAUGGGCGCAAGCCUGAUCCAGCAAUGCCGCGUGCAGGAUGAAGGCC